AUUGAACGCUGGCGGCAGGCCUAACACAUGCAAGUCGAACGGUAACAGGAAACAGCUUGCUGUUUCGCUGACGAGUGGCGGACGGGUGAGUAAUGUCUAGGAAACUGCCUGAUGGAGGGGGAUAACUACUGGAAACGGUAGCUAAUACCGCAUAACGUCGCAAGACCAAAGAGGGGGACCUUCGGGGCUCUUGCCAUCGGAUGUGCCCAGAUGGGAUUAGCUAGUAGGUGGGGUAACGGCUCACCUAGGCGACGAUCCCUAGCUGGUCUGAGAGGAUGACCAGCCACACUGGAACUGAGACACGGUCCAGGCUCCUACGGGAGGAAGUAGUGGGGAAUAUUGCACAAUGGGCGCAAGCCUGAUGCAGCCAUGCCGCGUGUAUGAAGAAGGCCUUCGGGGUGUAAAGUACUUUCAGCGGGGAGGAAGGGAGUAAAGUCAAUACCUUUGCUCAUUGACGUUACCCGCAGAAGAAGCACCGGCUAACUCCGUGCCAGCCGCCGCGGUAA
rnacentral:rRNA from 1 species